GCUGAGCUCUCAGGCGAUGCCACGUGGAAUCCAGGCGAGACAGUCAGCACCGCCUCCAUCUGAUGUGUCAGUCUGAAGGCAGUGUUACAUGUCGCAUCUAUUAGGCACUGGCCCCACACAGAACACAUGGGAAAUCUGGAUACAAUGACAGACACAUAUGGAGGGAAGAAGAUGUGAAGACAGAAGAGCAUCAUCGACAAGCCAUGGAAUGGCAGAAGCCACCAGCAGCUGAGAGACAGGCCUACACAGACGCUCCCCAUAGCCCUCAGAAUGAGCCAGCCCUGCUGACACCUUGAUCUCAGGCGUCCAGCCUCCAGGAACGAAUCCCUGUAUCAUAGAAGGGAUGAAAAACCCUCUACUCCUUCCUCACUGAGCUGCAGUGUCUGAGGUGGACAAAACCCUGGGAGAGGCGACGAUCUCUGCACAGCAGCAGAGGCAUCAGCACGUCGGCAUCCUGCCUUGCCAUCCUCCGGGGACUACUGGAGACAGCUGGGGCGAGGACUAGAGGAGGAGUGAAGAAAAGGCAUCUGACCACUAAGACCACCCAGUGCUAGUCGACCCAGACGUCCCGUUCUCCCUGCUGCUUCACUCCACCCCACACCCUCAAUCUGACUCUGAGCUCCGCUGGAAAGGCCUUCCCUGUGCUGGAAAAGUGGAGGGCAGGACCCACGGCCUCCGAUGCCCACCUCAGGAAGGCGGAGGAUGGAGAGAGUCCAUCCGCCAACUCAAGCUUUGUGACCCCACACCGGCUAAAGACCAGACAGGAAUGAGCGCAUGCAGGCAUAUCGGAGACAAAUAAUCAGACUGCCUUUCUGCGUCACGUGGUGUGUGGCAGUCUCCUCCUCCCCACACGCGGGUGCGUGGCCGCAACUGCCUGAAUGCCAGCUGCCUUCCCGCGGUCCAGCCCUAAGGUUGGUAGGAACCAGCUCGAAAUCAUUUUGUGCACUUCUCCCUAACUACAGGAAGACCUCUGGUUCAAUAAAUUCAUUCGGCACUAAGUAAAAAUUUUAAACCUGGUUUUCCUCUUAAAGUUACCGAUCUACCCUGACUGAACUCAGAAACUCUGCCAAAAAAAAAAAAAAAAACUAUUGAGCUAAAUUAUUAUACACCCAUUGAAAAUUUGAGUAUGAGUAUAUGAAGUGAUUAAAUGCUCAUCUAGUAGAAAAUUUUGAGGCAUCUACUGUAUAUUCUUUAAAGUAAUAAUAGACCAUAAGGGCCUUCCUCCUGAGAGCCAAUCAUGUAGUGUGUUAAUUCUCAACAUGAACUACCUCUCAGCA